CUACUUGUGUGUCCAGAAUUCUCUGAGUCACUGCGAGAAAUGGGUGCUUGUCUAUUUGAGAAAACUCCAGUUAAUGAUGAUGAAGAAAAUGGUAAAACUUUGGAAAUGCUUGGAAGAGUACAGCUCGAACUUCAAAAGCUUAUUGAUGGCUAUCGUUCUCACAUAAUAGUCACAAUUACAAACCCAUCAGAGUCUCUUCUCAAUGAAUUGCGGAUUGUUGAGGAUAUGAAGCGGAUGUGA